GUAACGCGUGAGUAACCUGCCUUCAAGAGGGGGAGUAACAUUCUGAAAAGAAUGCUAAUACCGCAUGACAUAUCGGAACCACAUGGUUUUGAUAUCAAAGAUUUUAUCGCUUGAAGAUGGACUCGCGUCCGAUUAGUUAGUUGGUGAGGUAACGGCUCACCAAGACCGCGAUCGGUAGCCGGACUGAGAGGUUGAACGGCCACAUUGGGACUGAGACACGGCCCAGACUCCUACGGGAGGCAGCAUG
rnacentral:rRNA from 1 species